UACGUAGGGGGCAAGCGUUGUCCGGAAUUAUUGGGCGUAAAGCGCGCGCAGGCGGCUUUGUAAGUCUAGUGUUUAAGCUCGGAGCUCAACUCCGAUUCGCACCGGAAACUGCAAGGCUUGAGUACAGAAGAGGAAAGUGGAAUUCCACGUGUAGCGGUGAAAUGCGUAGAGAUGUGGAGGAACACCAGUGGCGAAGGCGACUACCUGGCCUGUUCUUGACGCUGAGGCGCGAAAGCUAGGGGAGCAAACGGG
rnacentral:rRNA from 1 species